rnacentral:rRNA from 1 species
GCAUAUCAAUAAGCGGAGGAAAAGAACCAACAGGGAUUGCCCCAGUAACGGCGAGUGAAGCGGCAAGAGCUCAAAUUUGAAAGCUGGCCCCCUCGGGGUCCGCAUUGUAAUUUGCAGAGGAUGCUUCGGGAGCGGCCCCCAUCUAAGUGCCCUGGAACGGGCCGUCAUAGAGGGUGAGAAUCCCGUAUGGGAUGGGGUGCCCGCGCCCGUGUGAAGCUCCUUCGACGAGUCGAGUUGUUUGGGAAUGCAGCUCUAAAUGGGUGGUAAAUUUCAUCUAAAGCUAAAUAUUGGCCGGAGACCGAUAGCGCACAAGUAGAGUGAUCGAAAGAUGAAAAGCACUUUGAAAAGAGAGUUAAACAGCACGUGAAAUUGUUGAAAGGGAAGCGCUUGCGACCAGACUCGCCCGCGGGGUUCAGCCGGCAUUCGUGCCGGUGUACUUCUCCGCGGGCGGGCCAGCGUCGGUUUGGGCGGCCGGUCAAAGGCCCCUGGAAUGUAACGCCUCUCGGGGCGUCUUAUAGCCAGGGGUGCCAUGCGGCCUGCCCGGACCGAGGAACGCGCUUCGGCUCGGACGCUGGCAUAAUGGUCGUAAGCGACCCGUCUUGAAACACGGACCAAGGAGUCUAACAUCUACGCGAGUGUUCGGGUGUCAAACCCGUGCGCGCAGUGAAAGCGAACGGAGGUGGGAACCCUUUGGGUGCACCAUCGACCGAUCCUGAUGUCUUCGGAUGGAUUUGAGUAAGAGCGUAGCUGUUGGGACCCGAAAGAUGGUGAACUAUGCCUGAAUAGGGCGAAGCCAGAGGAAACUCUGGUGGAGGCUCGCAGCGGUUCUGACGUGCAAAUCGAUCGUCAAAUUUGGGU